UUAAUUCAUAAAACGUGAUUUCAUAUAAGACUUAGGAUAUGCACCAAAAGAAUAUAUGCAAUUAUGGACAGAAUUAAUCAGAUUUCUUUGGUAUGAAUAGAGAGAUAAACAACUAUGAUGAGAGUUGCCGAAUUAACAAUAUUAGCGACAAAAGUUUAAAGAGGACGAACGUGUAAUUUCUCACAAGUCCCUGGCAUUUUGAUAAACUAUAGGUGACAUUAAUCAAUGAGAAUACUUAAUGUUUGCUGCAACAUUUAGAUAUGAUCACAGAAUAAAGCAGCAAACACCAACGUUUAAUAGCAUCUAAGUUAAUUGAGCACAAGACUAGUGCAAUACAUGCUUAAUAGAAUACUACUAUAAUCAAUUCAUUUGUCUUCCCAAUUGGUAUUGUACGGACGGUGAGCUGCCAUCUUCUCUCUGCCCUCUUUGCUUUCUUCCACCUGCUUCUUUCAAUCUUUAUGUUCAAGUUUUUUUUUCCAUUGAGAUUUGGCAAUAUUCCUCAAUUCCAGUGUUUUGAUUUUAGGUCCGUUUGCUCUUCCUGAUGCUCUCCGUCUUCCCUAUUUAGGGCCUUUGCAUUCACUUUUAGGAGAAAGGAAGGAAUUCCAAAGAUGAGAUGCAGGGAUGGAGCAGAGGAAGCUUCAUAUUCCAAAAUUCUACCCAUUUUUCGGACAAAUUGCAAUGUCUUUAUACUGCAGCAUAUGGAGCUGCAGUUCAAGCUGCAAUUUUAGUGGAGAAGGUGACCAAAAGGUUCAAGAUUUGCUGCUUCUUGAUACCACUUCUCUGAGUCUUGAUAUUGAGACUGUUGGUGGUGUGAUGACAAUCUAGACUCCAAGAAACACUACUAUCCCCACCAAAAAAGAGCAAAUUAUCCCGACCAAAAAAGAGCAAAUUUCCAGGUGUGCUCAUUCAGGUGUAGAAAAGUCUUAUAUGGAAAUUUGUCUUGAUAAUAGAAUUAGCAUAGAAGUUAAUAUGCCCAACAAUGCUUAUCUCUUACUAAAACAAGAUCCACUCUUAUUGUAGCAUAUGAAGCUGCAGUUCAAGCUGCUAUUUUAGUGGAGAAGGUGCCAAAAGGUUCAAGAUUUGCUGCUUCUUGAUAUCACUUUUCUAAGUCCUGAUAUUGAGACUGUUGGUGGUGUGAUGACAAUCUAGACUCCAAGAAACACUACUAUCCCGACCAAAAAAGAGCAAAUUUCCAGGUGUGCUCAUUCAGGUGUAUGAAGAGAAAGGAUAAUGACCGAGGACAACAACCUUCUUGGGGGAUGCUAUCAGCUUGCUAAACUAUAAUUUUCAAGAUCGAGUUGAAAAUGUUCUAAAAUAUAUAGAGGAUGGAGAUAUUCACAGAUGGAGUUUGCUUGAUAUUAGGGAAUUGAAUUGCAUCACUAAUCCUCAUAUGUAUGAACAGGUUCGCAGUUAUUUCCUGACCUUUGCUUUGUUGUGUGUGUGUAUGUGUGGGGAGGGGGAGGCUUGGUUGUCCAGGAUGGAAGACCGGAGAUAAUAAAGCAUGCAUUUGACGCUAUGUAGUUUGUCCAUUUAUUUGCACUCGAAUGGAGUUGAGGAGCCGAUCUAGAUAAGUCAUGUUGCAUUCCAUUUUUACAGAAUAUGUAAUCCCUUCUGAUCUUAGUGAAUUGAUUUGAAGUCGUUUUGCUCAAUUAUUACUAAUUGUCCAGUACUAUGUUAUUAAGUUGGUUCAUGAAUGAUACUUUGUGCUAUAUUAGAACAUAGUUCGGUUACCUCAGUUCCAGUAUAGUGCUGUUUGAGUGUAUUGAAGUUUGAAUGCGAUAGUGAUAAAGUGGUUGCUUCAUAAACUACUAUGUUAUUUGAAGAACUUGGAUAUGAAUUGAUUUGAUUAUGGGAAGAAAAUUUUGAAACACAUUCUUGUACGUGCAAAUUUUGUUAAAGAUAAUGGAAUAGACUUUGUGCAGUUACAUAACACACGUGAUAAGCCAAAGGCAAAAUCUUUGGCCAAUUCUCUCAUAUCCCUCCAGAAAGAAACAGAACAGGACUGGUGAGACCAAAUGAUAGUUACAUACCUUUUUUGUUAUUUUUCUUUUAAUUCACGUGUCAAGUUAAUGCUUAUCAGUGAUGUGCCUUAAACAACUCAGAUUUCCUAUUUUGGGAAUUGAAUUCACCUUUUUGUCCCUGUGUAAUGCCAUGUGAUGUAUGCCCAUUGUCCCUCUCGUAUGCAUAGUUAAUGAACUUUUGGCUUCAUUUCCAUUGAAAGAAUUAGUUGCAAAUUAAUUUUGAUAUAAUAUUUUAUGUAGGAUAGAUCAUAUACACUUUUGAUUUUUAUGUAUUCCUGGUGUGGGUAAAGUUACAUAUGCCAUUGAAGAACCCACAGCACUGAAAUUUGUGUGUAGUAUUUCGUAUUUGUUGCAGAAUGUUUUGCCAUUUGUACCACAAUUUGUUAUAUAGAAAACUAUUUAAAUGUGAAAAAAGCAUGCAUUCCUGGAAUGUGUAACAGUAUAACCUGCUUUUGUCUUUUGUUUUUCUACAUAGCAAUGUUUUCUGUGAGAGGCUUUUAGUAAGUUCAUUAGAAGUAAAAUGAAAAUGGGAGAGGGAGUAAGGUAGUAGCUUAAGAGAUGCAUAAGAUGUUGCAAGUCUCAAGAGAUGCAUAAGAUGUUACAAGUUGCAACUGCAAUACAGUUCUAUUUGACGCAAACAAUUGGCGUUAUGUCGUAACUUAUCUUUAUCAGGUUAAGAUUAAGGAAAAAAACAUAUUUUACCUGAGGAAUAUAGCUUCGAGGAAUUGUUGAAUAAGAUAUAACGUAUGGGGGAAAUUGGAAGGGGAAGAGGGGUUCACUGUACGUACAUUAUAAAUUUAUGAUUAAUUUUUCAUUCUGUUCUUUAUGUUUAGUAUUGUGUGUAUCUCUGAUUAUAUAAAUGUAACACAUAAAUAAUUAAGUUACAUUUGCUUGGGUUAUAUCCUGUAUUUCAAAAAGGCGAUGGCGCACAAAUUAGAUCUUUUCGUUGAAAUGGUAGUACUACUAUAUAGUCCUUUAGCACCUCACAUCACCUUCACCUUACUGAUGCUUUGCAUAUUAUUUAAUUGGUUUGUGGCUAACUAUUUGUGAUAUUGACAUAGGGCUGGCCUCACUCUGAUUUUUCGGUGAACGUGUGGUAGGGUACUCCUUUCCGUUUGGGUAGCAUGCAUUUUCAAGUACUGUUAUGUGCAUAAGAAAUGGAUUCUGCAUCAUUUAGCUCCAAAACACACAGCUCCUUCAAGGAAGUGGCUAAAUGGAAUAUAUGUGUGUUCACACAACUCUUUUAAUGGCCCGGAGUCUUUUGGAGCAUGCUAAGUCUUGAGUCUACCACUUUUUUAAAGCUAUAAUGGAGCACAAACACGGAUGUGUCAUGGACAAUGUUUCGAAUACAUAUGUUAGCACAUAAUAGGCACCUCCAGAUUGAUUACUCAAGCAAGUAUUUGUUGGACAAAUAGUUUAAUAUUCUAUUCCAGUAUUUUUUAGUUGUUGCACUACUUCAUUUGUAGAUUUCUCAAUCCCGACUUCACUGAUAUUUACAUGUUUUUCUCAGGUUCCUGGACAUGUCCCUAUGCUAUGGUUUUUUGUAAUGCAGAAGAUUGGCUACUGAGAUUGGAACUUCAUCCAGCACACUACAACUGUUAAAUUAGGAUUUCCUCAUGAUGUAUCUGUAGGAUACAUUUGGUGUAUUAUGUCUAUAAUAACAAGUAGUUAUAUUUUUGGUGUAUUACGUCUACAAUAACAAUGCUUGCAAAUGGUUUAACUAAACAGUACUUGUGCUUGUUGUA